GAAAGAAUGGAGGACAGGAGGCACAAGGAAGGAGAGCAAGUCUGUGUUCUGAUCAAGCUCUCAAACUUUAAUGAACAAAAACAGCAGCUUAUAAAGACAAGCAGGUAUGGACUGAUAAGAACAGAUGCUGGAGACAGAAGCUGUAAAAGUGAUAAGAAUGGACAUCUGGCUUCUAUGUCCCAGAGGGUGUAAGUGGGCUUGACAUUCCUGAAACAUUCCUGAGAGAGAGGGAAGCACAACUCACAUCAGACGUACACCUGACAUGCAUUGUUGUGGGCUCCAACUGCUGCCAAAUGAGUCCAGAAAACACUCAGAUUCUAUUAGGGAAUGUCAAUAAAAUAAGGAAUCAAGGUGGAUAUAUUUCACAAUACACUAUUCAACUUGCAGGAGGGUGAACUAUCACAUUCACAGGAGAACUGUUCUAAGAAGAUUCCAAUUAAAAAGA
rnacentral:lncRNA from 1 species